rnacentral:lncRNA from 1 species
AGCAGCCUAGGUAUCCAUCAAUUGAUGGAUGAAGAAAGAAAAUAUGCAUAUAUGCACUAAGUAGUGCUACUCAUCCAUGAAGGAUCCUUAACUCCUUCCAUUUGCAGCAAAGUGAGUGAGACUGGAGGACAUAAUGUUAAGUGAAACAAGCCAGACCCAGAAAAAAAGGCACACUAAGGAUUAUCCGGAACCAUCUUCAAAGCAACUGGAGGAACUCCACUCAUGUGUAACAAGAACCAUCCAAAAUUCCAGUGUAAACCUUCUAAGGAUUCCCAAUAAUGAUAUUGGCUCAAGAUUUGUAGUUAAGAAUGGCAAACCCAUCAAGAGCAGGCAUGUACCUACUGAAAUAACAAACUACAC